UACAGAGGGGCGAGCGUUGUUCGGAAUUACUGGGCGUAAAGGCGCGUAGGCGGCCAACUAAGUCAGACGUGAAAUCCCUCGGCUCAACCGGGGAACUGCGUCUGAUACUGGAUGGCUUGAAUUCGGGAGAGGGAUGCGGAAUUCCAGGUGUAGCGGUGAAAUGCGUAGAUAUCUGGAGGAACACCGGUGGCGAAGGCGGCAUCCUGGACCCGAGAUUGACGCUGAUGCGCGAAAGCCAGGGGAGCAAACGGG
rnacentral:rRNA from 1 species